rnacentral:rRNA from 1 species
UACGAAGGGGGCUAGCGUUGCUCGGAAUCACUGGGCGUAAAGGGUGCGUAGGCGGGUUGUUAAGUCAGGGGUGAAAUCCUGGAGCUCAACUCCAGAACUGCCUUUGAUACUGGAGAUCUUGAGUUCGGGAGAGGUGAGUGGAACUGCGAGUGUAGAGGUGAAAUUCGUAGAUAUUCGCAAGAACACCAGUGGCGAAGGCGGCUCACUGGCCCGAUACUGACGCUGAGGCACGAAAGCGUGGGGAGCAAACAGG